rnacentral:rRNA from 1 species
CUUAACCAGUCAUGCUUAACAAAGAGUCGAGCGGACAGAAGGGAGCUUGCUCCCGGAUGUUAGCGGCGGACGGGUGAGUAACACGUGGGUAACCUGCCUGUAAGACUGGGAUAACUCCGGGAAACCGGAGCUAAUACCGGAUAGUUCCUUGAACCGCAUGGUUCAAGGAUGAAAGACGGUUUCGGCUGUCACUUACAGAUGGACCCGCGGCGCAUUAGCUAGUUGGUGAGGUAACGGCUCACCAAGGCGACGAUGCGUAGCCGACCUGAGAGGGUGAUCGGCCACACUGGGACUGAGACACGGCCCAGACUCCUACGGGAGGCAGCAGUAGGGAAUCUUCCGCAAUGGACGAAAGUCUGACGGAGCAACGCCGCGUGAGUGAUGAAGGUUUUCGGAUCGUAAAGCUCUGUUGUUAGGGAAGAACAAGUGCAAGAGUAACUGCUUGCACCUUGACGGUACCUAACCAGAAAGCCACGGCUAACUACGUGCCAGCAGCCGCGGUAAUACGUAGGUGGCAAGCGUUGUCCGGAAUUAUUGGGCGUAAAGGGCUCGCAGGCGGUUUCUUAAGUCUGAUGUGAAAGCCCCCGGCUCAACCGGGGAGGGUCGUUGGAAACUGGGAAACUUGAGUGCGGAAGAGGAGGAGGGGAACUCCCC